rnacentral:rRNA from 1 species
AAGUCGAGCGAAGUUUUUCUGGUGCUUGCACUAGAAAAACUUAGCGGCGAACGGGUGAGUAACACGUAAAGAACCUGCCUCAUAGACGGGGACAACUAUUGGAAACGAUAGCUAAUACCGGAUAACAGCAUAAAUCGCAUGAUAUAUGUUUAAAAGUUGGUUUCGGCUAACACUAUGAGAUGGCUUUGCGGUGCAUUAGCUAGUUGGUGGGGUAAAGGCCUACCAAGGCGACGAUGCAUAGCCGACCUGAGAGGGUGAUCGGCCACACUGGGACUGAGACACGGCCCAGACUCCUACGGGAGGCAGCAGUAGGGAAUCUUCCGCAAUGGGCGAAAGCCUGACGGAGCAACGCCGCGUGAGUGAAGAAGGAUUUCGGUUCGUAAAGCUCUGUUGUUAGGGAAGAAUGAUUGUAUAGUAACUAUAUACAGUAGAGACGGUACCUAACCAGAAAGCCACGGCUAACUACGUGCCAGCAGCCGCGGUAAUACGUAGGUGGCAAGCGUUGUCCGGAAUUAUUGGGCGUAAAGCGCGCGCAGGUGGUUUAAUAAGUCUGAUGUGAAAGCCCACGGCUCAACCGUGGAGGGUCAUUGGAAACUGUUAAACUUGAGUGCAGGAGAGAAAAGUGGAAUUCCUAGUGUAGCGGUGAAAUGCGUAGAGAUUAGGAGGAACACCAGUGGCGAAGGCGGCUUUUUGGCCUGUA